rnacentral:rRNA from 1 species
GGAAGGUGGGGAUGACGUCAAGUCCUCAUGGCCCUUACGGGAUGGGCUACACACGUGCUACAAUGGCCGGGACAAAGAGCUGCAACCCCGCGAGGGCAAGCCAACCUCAAAAACCCGGUCUCAGUUCGGAUUGCAGGCUGCAACUCGCCUGCAUGAAGUCGGAAUCGCUAGUAAUCGCCGGUCAGCCAUACGGCGGUGAAUACGUUCCCGGGCCUUGUACACACCG